UUUGGUGGUUUGUCGCCUUAGCGACCCUACUGGGGGCACGCCCUUCACCCUUGUAGAAGGCUGUCGCUUUCGUCCCUGAUGCCGCUGUGGGCGUAGUCCGGCGGCGCCGCCGGAUCCGGGGAGCGGGGGCGGCCUCCCGGCCAGAGCCUUCGCUGGGUCCUCGGCUGCCGCCUUGGAUACCCAGUUCCCAAACCUGCACUGGUCUUACAUCUGGAGAGAGGGGAUUUGCUUUGGGGCCUGGAGACACAGGAAGAUCCACCUGCGAAAGGGACCAAAGACAUCUGUAAAGAUGCCAGAACCAACAUUGACAUUGAGUCAACACCAAC